rnacentral:tRNA from 1 species
UAGACGGAUGCCGGAUGGAUAAGGCGCUUAGCUGUUAACUAAGAUUUUGCAGGAUCGAGACCUGCCCGUCUAG